rnacentral:rRNA from 1 species
GAUGAACGCUGGCGGCGUGCCUAAUACGUGCAAGUCGAGCGAACAGACGAGGAGCUUGCUCCUCUGACGUUAGCGGCGGACGGGUGAGUAACACGUGGAUAACCUACCUAUAAGACUGGGAUAACUUCGGGAAGCCGGCGCUAAUACCGGAUAAUCUAUUGAACCGCAUGGUGCAAUAGUGAAAGACGGUUUUGGUGUCACUUAUAGAUGGAUCUGCGCCGCUUUAGCUAGUUGGUAAGGUAAAGGCUUAUCAAGGCGACGAUGCGUAGCCGAACUGAGAGGGGGGUCGGCCACAUGGGAACUGAGACGCGGUCCAGACUCCUGCGGGAGGCAGCAGUAGGGAAUCUGCCGCAGUAGGCGAGAGCCUGACGGAGCGACGCCACGUGAGUGAUGAAGGUCUUCGGAUCGUAAAGCUCGGUUAUGAGGGAAGAACAAAUGUGUAAGUAACUAUGCACGGCUUGACGGUAACUAGUCAGAAAGCCCCGGCUAACUACGUG